GAAGGGAAGAUAUUUGAAGGGAGGGAGAGAGGGGAAAGGAGAGAUGGGGGAGGGGAGAUUACCACACUGGGAAACGCGGAGCCUCUAUUUAAACACCAUCCUAAAAUAAGAUGUAUGAAAUCCAUGAGGUCCUUAUGCCUCUCCAUUUCUAUUUCGGUGUGUUAACUUAAUGCUAAAAGAUCAUCACAAGGUUUAAAAGAAAACAAGCAGAUGCAGAGACCCAUAGCCAAGCAUCGAUCAGAGCUGGGGGUGACUUGUGGAAGAAUGGGGAGGGUAGAAUUGAACGAGCUGGAGGGGGCAAGCAAACCACAAAGAGACCUACAGAGGCAACUCUUCUGGUACCAUGGGGGUUCUCAGGGCCUGGACCCCCUACUAGGGAGCAUGCAGGAGCUGGCUUGGAUCCCCUACAAGUGUGCAGCUUGGUCUUCAUGAGUGUCCCCUAACAAAAUGAGCUGGGCCUGUGUCCAUCUCUCUUCCCUGCCAUUGAAUCCCCUUCUGCCUACCUGGACUCCCUGGUUGGAACUCGGUGGGAAAGGAUACGUUUAGUUCUGCUGGGUCUAGAUGUCCCAAGGUGGGGUGGUAACUAAGGCAGGCUCCCCUUUGGGGGCAAUGGGGAAAGGGAUUUGUAAAGGUGGGACAGGGAGGAAAGGAGGGAGCAGGGCUGUGAUCGCGAUGUAAAAUUUAAAAAAAAAGAAAAGAGGGGUUGGGGAUUUAGCUCAGUGGUAGAGCGCUUGCCUAGCAAGCACAAGGCCCUGGGUUCGGUCCCCAGCUCCGAAAAAAAAAGAAAAGAAAAAAAAAAGAAGAGUCAAAGGAGAGGAUAAAUUAAGAAUCUCAUUGGUAUUGAUGCUUCCUUGAUGGAUUACAAAUGAUAAUUUCAUAAAUAGCUCAAGUUCUAUGUUCAGAUUUUAUUAUUCUAUCAGGUAAACUCUCUGUCAGCUACUCAUUGCCUACCACGCAGGACUGAACAUUUUUGGAAUUCAAGGCAUAUUUGAAUUUCUAGUGUCCUGUUCCCCAAUGGAAAGCAGUAUGAGGCGGCUUGGUGUGGAGAAUCGUGCCCUUGCUUGUUCAGUAAUCAGACUACAUGGACUCUGGAAGUGCCUGAUGGGCAAACUGUUCUCUUACACAACAUCGUUGAUGCUGCACCACUAAAAAGACUUGCAUAUUAAAACGCGAAGCAUGUGAGCUUCUUCAGAGUGAACAGAAAACCAAGAGUCAAUAUAUAUCUUAUCAGAUCCAAAGUAGCAACUUGACCAAGAUGCUGUGAAAUGAACAUGAAUUCUUCACAUGCAGAGUUGAAGGAGAGUUUAUUCCUAUUUCCUAUGGGAUUACCGCUUGGAAAAAAAUCUCUCUGCCAUUUCCCAUCGAAUCCACCUCCACCCUCCCUCUUUUCUUCCCCCCUCUCCUUCCCCUCUGCCCUCUCUUUCUCCCACCUUCCUUCUCUCAUUUCCUCCUCGUUCACACCUUCUCUUUUAAUCAAGUAUUUAUCUGUCUGCUGCAGAAGACAAUGAGGCCUGUAUGCACGAUUAUUGUCUAAUGCAGAGAAGGAAAAUGAA